GAUGAACGCUGGCGGCGUGCCUAAUACAUGCAAGUCGAGCGAACAGAUGAGGAGCUUGCUCCUCUGACGUUAGCGGCGGACGGGUGAGUAACACGUGGAUAACCUACCUAUAAGACUGGGAUAACUUCGGGAAACCGGAGCUAAUACCGGAUAAUAUAUUGAACCGCAUGGUUCAAUAGUGAAAGACGGUUUUGCUGUCACUUAUAGAUGGAUCCGCGCCGCAUUAGCUAGUUGGUAAGGUAACGGCUUACCAAGGCAACGAUGCGUAGCCGACCUGAGAGGGUGAUCGGCCACACUGGAACUGAGACACGGUCCAGACUCCUGCGGGAGGCAGCAGUAGAGAAUCUUCCGCAAUGGGCGAAAUCCUGACGGAGCAACGCCGCGUGAGUGAUGAAGGUCUUCGGAUCGUAAAACUCUGUUAUUAGGGAAGAACAAAUGUGUAAGUAACUAUGCACGUCUUGACGGUACCUAAUCAGAAAGCCACGGCUAACUACGUG
rnacentral:rRNA from 1 species